rnacentral:rRNA from 1 species
AAGGCUAAAUACUCCUGACUGACCGAUAGUGAACCAGUACCGUGAGGGAAAGGCGAAAAGAACCCCGGCGAGGGGAGUGAAAAAGAACCUGAAACCGUGUACGUACAAGCAGUGGGAGCACCUUCGGGUGUGACUGCGUACCUUUUGUAUAAUGGGUCAGCGACUUAUAUUCUGUAGCAAGGUUAACCGUAUAGGGGAGCCGCAGGGAAACCGAGUCUUAACUGGGCGUUAAGUUGCAGGGUAUAGACCC